GCGGGUGUAGUACAAUGGUAGUAUGCGAGCUUCCCAAGCUUGAGACACGAGUUCGAUUCUCGUUACCCGCUCCA
rnacentral:tRNA from 1 species